AUCCAGUUGACGAGUCCCAUAUAGGACGAAAUGCUAAUCCUGGAU
rnacentral:hammerhead_ribozyme from 1 species